GAAUAGUUAAUCACACUUGUCUCAUAUCUUCUACUGAAGUAGACUGAUGAAGUGGUAAAAAUGGUAAAAUACUUGGCUGCCAAAAAAUUACUGUUUUUAUUUUUAUUUUUAUUUUUAUUUUAUUUUUCAUUUCCUGUUAAAUUAAUAAGACUUUAUAUUUUAUUUUAUUUUUCUUUUUAAAUUUUGAAAAGACUUGCUUUGCAAGAAAUUAGCGUAGACAAAUUAAGUGAUGAGAUUGGAAGGUGAGCAUAUCUCGGUAGUGGGAACAAAUAGGCAGAAAAAACCCAGAGACGUACAAAACCCCAAUUAUAAAUGGCGGCGAAUUCUAAGUUGCCCGCCACGUUACUCCAGCUGUGAAAAAGUAAAUUAUUUUUUUAAAGUGGGUUAAAACUAAAAAAACACUAAAAUCACUCAACAAGCCAGCACAACUUGAACUGUUACCAUUGCAACGGAUUACAAAGUGACAACUAUACCCUCGCAUGCUUACCUUAUUUACCCACGAGCGGAAAAGAGUAAGUAAGUAAAUUAAGCAACUGAACUCUUUUAAGCGGUCAAACAAUUUGACCGAC
rnacentral:lncRNA from 1 species